GACGAACGCUGGCGGCGUGCCUAAUACAUGCAAGUAGAACGCUGAAGGAGGAGCUUGCUUCUCUGGAUGAGUUGCGAACGGGUGAGUAACGCGUAGGUAACCUGCCUGGUAGCGGGGGAUAACUAUUGGAAACGAUAGCUAAUACCGCAUAAGAGUAGAUGUCGCAUGACAUUUGCUUAAAAGGUGCAAUUGCAUCACUACCAGAUGGACCUGCGUUGUAUUAGCUAGUUGGUGAGGUAACGGCUCACCAAGGCAACGAUACAUAGCCGACCUGAGAGGGGGAUCGGCCACGCUGGGACUGAGACACGGCCCAGACUCCUGCGGGAGGCAGCAGUAGGGAAGCUUCGGCAAUGGACGGAAGUCUGACCGAGCAACGCCGCGUGAGUGAAGAAGGUGUUCGGAUCGUAAAGCUCUGUUGUAAGAGAAGAACGAGUGUGAGAGUGGAAAGUUCACACUGUGACGGUAUCUUACCAGAAAGGGACGGCUAACUACGUG
rnacentral:rRNA from 1 species